rnacentral:lncRNA from 1 species
AACUAAGGAAUAACAACAUAAAUGCAUGAGAACAAGCUAACUCAGUCUCAUAAAUAUGCUCCUAUCACAUACUCUGCAAUUUCCCUUUUCAUACCUGGCCAAUAAUAAAAUGGUCGAAUGGUAUGGUACAUCUUAGUUCCUCCUGGAUGCAUUGCAUAAGCCGAACAAUGCACUUCAUCCAAAAUUUCUUUCUUUAAUUCCUCAUU